UACAGAGGGUGCAAGCGUUGUUCGGAAUUACUGGGCGUAAAGCGUGCGUAGUCGGUAUUGAGAGUCAUAGGUGAAAUCCCAGGGCUUAACCCUGGAACUGCCCGUGAGACCUCAGUACUAGAGUGUGAGAGGGGAUAGUGGAAUACCAAGUGUAGCGGUGAAAUGCGUAGAGAUUUGGUGGAACACCGGUGGCGAAGGCGGCUAUCUGGCUCACAACUGACGAUCAGGCACGAAAGCGUGGGGAGCAAACAGGAUUAGAUACCCUGGUAGUCCACGCCGUAAACUAUCCAUACAAGCUGUAGUGGGGUUUUACUCCUGCUGUGGCGAAGCUAACGCAAUUAGUAUGGCGCCUGGGGAGUACGGUCGCAAGACUA
rnacentral:rRNA from 1 species